AAUCAAAUUAGCAAAAUCCCUACACAAGACCCAUAUGAGAGAGAGCUAGAUCCAACAAAUUUUCAAAUCAAACAACAAAUUUAGAUGUUGGGUCCUCUCAAUUUGAGUCCUUUUCUCAAACUCAGUCCCAUCUUUGUUAAAAUUUGUCAAGUCCUUUCAAUUUUACAAUUUUCUCUCCACAAAUUAAAGUCAUAAAAAGAUAUGGAAAAUUGCAGAUUUCAACCGAUAAAUAUGGAGUUUUUUCCAUAUACGGAGGAAAAAACAAAUUGGAGUUUAAAGAUUACAAAGAAAACAACAGUAGCCGAACAACAUUGGUGUAGAUUUCAGGACUCUUUGUGUGAACUUUACAG